CUUGUUUGGAAAAUGAAGAUUUUGGAGCCCAGAGCAGGGAACUGAAAGUUACAGGUCUUGAGUGCCUUGCAACUUUGAGCGGCCUGCAGCGGCUGGUAGGGGAGGAGGCUGAGGGCACCAGUGGGAAGAGUGUAGUGGGGCAGGAGGGGCCCGGCUCUGGCUGCCUGUCACUGCCUGUCACUGGUCAUUGACUACCCCGAGGCUCAGGGUCCUGACCCAUAACCUGAGGGGGAAAUGGAUUCUGGGAUCUCUCUUAUUUCCCUAAAGUUUUCAGGUAUUCAAAUUUGAAGUUUCCGUCUCUCCUUACCCCUUACUUAGGUCCGCUGGCGGACGAGCACAUUCCCCAUAUCAACAACCCUCCUGCCGUCACUUGUCACUGCUGAAUGUGGUUUGUCACCCGUCCCAGCCUGCCCUGGUCCGGCUGAAGCAGGAACAUGAGAGAGACCGUGUGGGCUUUCUGUGCGGCACAGACCCAAGGAAAAGGUCUACCUAGAGAACUCUUGCCCUGCCUCUAUACGGACCCCUCCCUACAGUGGCUGAGAGCUGAAGCAUCCUUUCCAUUCGAAGCUGUGAGCCCCACUCCAACUGCAGGGAUGUGGGACCACCCUGUGUCUUGACAAGACGAUCCCCUCAUGGUCUAACUUGGAGGCUGUCACGAGAACUACAGUCUUACUUGCAAAUGGGCUCCUAGAAGCCACACCGUGCCCCAUCUGGCUCCUUUUCAGCGAGCUCUUUCACAGCCAGGAGCCCCAAAAUCUUAGGGUCUAGUCUCACUUGGAGUCACCUUGAACCAGGAGAAGUUGGGUUCUGAGAGGUCCAGGUGUUCUGGGAUUCAGAAUUCCCUGCUCUAUCAAGGACUGUUUUAGCUAUACUACAGUUGAGGAAGAAUUGGAACAUUCCUCAGGGAACUUCUCUCUAUUUAUAACAUUGUUUCUAUGGGAAAAAGUGUUCCAAGUGACAAUCAUUUUUAAAACAGGGUUCUGAGAUCACAGCCUUUCCAUGGCUGGAGGUCUGCUGGUAACUAUUUCUUCACAUGUAGAGAUUACAUUGAAAUUUUUAAAAAAUUGCAUCUAGAAUAAACAGAACAAGG
rnacentral:lncRNA from 1 species